AUGGUAACCUCAAAUGGUUUGUGUGUGUGUGUGUGUGUGUGUGUGUGUGUGUGUGUGUGUGUGUGUGUGUGUGUGUGUGUGUGUGUGUGUGUGUGUGUUGUGUGUGUGUGUGUGUGUGUGUGUGUGUGUGUGUGUGUGUGUGUGUGUGUGUGUGUGUGUGUGUGUGUGUGUGUGUGUGUUUUUAGGGGUGGUGAGGUGCAAGACAGCUCUGAGCUCAUCGGCCCAGCUGAACCCUUCACUGAUUUCUUAGCUGACAGCCUCUUAGAUAGAAGCUCUGAAGGCUACUGGCCAUUGAGAACUUCUGUUAGCCUAAACAAAACAUCAGAAAUAAACCAGAUUAUCAAAAUCACUGCUUAAUUCAAAUAUAUUUAUUAGUAAAUCUGAUUCUAAGUCAUUGAAUGGCUUUCAGUUUCUUGACUGUCAAUCUUUGUUUGUGGAUAUCACUAAAUAAAACAAAAAAAAAAAAACUUUUUUUUGUGAAUUAUCUUAUAAAACAGCAUUUACUUUGUUGUUAUUUUCAAAUAUAGCCCACUCCAAAAUGAAUGUUUAAUGGUAAACAUGUUAAAGAUUAGUGGACAGGUUCUAAAUUCAUCAAGCGACUGGAUUCCUGAAACAUUCUUAACUGAUAUUUUCUUCUCAUUUUCUUUCUUAGGAAAGAAGUUACAAAUAUUUUGUAUUCCCAAAAAUAUUUCUUAAGAAUGUUCUUAAAACAAAACUUAUUUAAAAGUAUUUUAAAAGAAUCUUCUAAGAUAUCCUCAAACUUUUACUAGAAAAGUUUGUCUUAAAAGUAAUUAUAUAAAUUUAUUGGGUUAUUUCAAAUUGAGUAUUAUAUUUAACCAUUACAGCAUAACGAUAUAAUGUGCACGAGUUUUCUGAAGUGACACACCAAUGAUCGAUAAUAUAAACAAUGAUCAGUCAUGAUUAUGCAUGUUGCAACUUUUUUUGCUGAUUUCAAAUUCAGUAACAACUCAACAAAAACUAGUUAAAUGGGGAGCUUGUUUUUAAUUGUAGCUUAUAUUUAAACUAUUCAAAAUCCACAGCGCAUUAAACAACAUGCAGCCAAGUGUCGAACACCAUCAAGCUAUUCACGCUUUUAUGAUUAUUAUGGUAAUCUGCAGGUAGUGCAAAAAGGAAGGGUUUUUGUUGAGUAUUCAAACAUUCAGUCAGACCACUCCAAAGACUGGCAUUUUCUUCUUUAGAAAAAAAAAAAAUAAUUCUUAAGAAAUAGGUUCUUAAGAACAUAUUUGACAGUAUUUAUCUCAAGAAAUUCUUUAACUUCUUUUGUCCCAAAUGUUGCUAAUGUAAUUGACAAUUGUAUUUGAAAUAACACGACAAUGAUGUAGUCAAAAACGGAAAAGUUUUUCCCUUGCGUUUUUAAAAAGUUUCACGUAUACAUGACCAUGUUUUCCAAACUAUUCGCGUUUACACAUAUCUGCGAAAGUGGCCAAAAAUGCUGUAUUAUGUAUGCCAGGCCAGUAGUUGGUGCUGUCACCUUGUAAGUAAACAGUACCUGUAGGGAAGUGAUGAUUAUAUGUUGUAUAUGAUGCAUCUCCGCUGUUGGUUGUAAUAUUGGUGAAGUGAAUCCAGACUUUGCUGAAGAAGUGUUAGCAAACUCUUGAGCAGCAACAACAGCACCAUGUACUCUGCCAUUGUUGUGUAUGUUUGUUCAUGCUUGCCUUUAAAGUCAACACAUACAGGUGCAUCUCAAUAAAUUAGAAUGUCGUGGAAAAGUUCAUUUAUUUCAGUAAUUCAACUCAAAUUGAAACUUGUGUAGUAAAUAAAUUCAAUGCACACAGACUGAAGUAGUUUAAGUCUUUGGUUCUUUUAAUUGUGAUGAUUUUGGCAUGCCAAUCAGCUAAUCAACUCAAAACACCUGCAAAGGUUUCCUGAGCCUUCAAAAUGGUCUCUCAGUUUGGUUCACUAGGCUACACAAUCAUGGGGAAGACUGCAGUUCUGACAGUUGUCCAGAAGGCAAUCAUUGACACCC
rnacentral:lncRNA from 1 species